UACAGAGGGUGCAAGCGUUGUUCGGAAUUAUUGGGCGUAAAGGGCGCGUAGGCGGUGCGGUAAGUCUGCGGUGAAAAUCUCCCCGGCUCAACUGGGGAGUCUGCCCGUGGGAAAACUGCCCGUGCUUGAGUGUGGGGAGAGGUGAGUGGAAUUCCCCGGUGUAGCGGUGAAAUGGCGUAGAUAUCGGGGAGGGAACACCCUGUGG
rnacentral:rRNA from 1 species